UAGGGAAUCUUCGGCAAUGGACGAAAGUCUGACCGAGCAACGCCGCGUGAGUGAAGAAGGUUUUCGGAUCGUAAAACUCUGUUGUUAGAGAAGAACAAGGACGUUAGUAACUGAACGUCCCCUGACGGUAUCUAACCAGAAAGCCACGGCUAACUACUUGCCAGCAGCCGCGGUAAUACGUAGGUGGCAAGCGUUGUCCGGAUUUAUUGGGCGUAAAGCGAGCGCAGGCGGUUUCUUAAGUCUGAUGUGAAAGCCCCCGGCUCAACCGGGGAGGGUCAUUGGAAACUGGGGGACUUGAGUGCAGAAGAGGAGAGUGGAAUUCCAUGUGUAGCGGUGAAAUGCGUAGAUAUAUGGAGGAACACCAGUGGCGAAGGCGGCUCUCUGGUCUGUAACUGACGCUGAGGCUCGAAAGCGUGGGGAGCAAACAGG
rnacentral:rRNA from 1 species